rnacentral:misc_RNA from 1 species
GAUGAAGAACGUAGCGAAAUGCGAUACUUGGUGUGAAUUGCAGAAUCCCGUGAACCAUCGAGUCUUUGAACGCAAGUUGCGCCCGAAGCCGUCAGGCCGAGGGCACGCCUGCCUGGGCGUCACACGCCGUUGCCCCCCCGCGCCCCGCACCCAACGCUUUGGGAGCGACCGCGGGGCGGGCUGAUGAUGGCCUCCCGUGCGCUCCGCCGCGCGGUUGGCCCAAAUACCGAGUCCCCGGCGACGUGCGCCACGACGAUCGGUGGUUGAGAGACCUCUGUCGCAAGUCGUGCGCGCCCGUCGCGUCACGCGGGCUCGCAUAGCGCCUCGCGCCGCACCCGGUGCGGAGCUUUCAACGCGACCCCAGGUCAGGCGGGGUUACCCGCUGAAUUUAAGCAUAUCAAUAACGGAGGA